AACCAGGGUUCUAGAAGGCUCUGUGGCAGGGAGUGGGAGGGUGAUUAACAGGGGAAGAAUUAGGAAAGAGGACACGCAAGACCACAGUAAGAGAUGGAAAUAAGAGAAUAUUCCUGAUUUCCACUGGAUGACUUUGACUGGUAUGAUUUCAUUCUCUGAAAGUGUUAACCAGGGUGCAGCAUGGCCAGAAACCAUUCCGAGCCUCAUGAAGUGGGCAAGUCAGGUUUGGUCAUUUUUGGUAAUGUCAUUGCAUGUACACAGUUUAAGACAGAGCAUCUGGUGAUUCUCGGACCUUCAAGCAAGUGUCACAUCUCAGGUGAACCUUGGCAGUUUUAAGAUGAACAAAGUAAUCAAAGCAAAAAUGUCAAAUAAUAAUAAUAAUAAUGAUAUCAGAAGAAUGUCCAGUGCCAUGGUUGGAUUCCCAGAAGGCAGCAUCUGCUCAUGCCAUCAACAACAUGGUGCCAUUUCAGUCAUCCUCUUUUUGUCCCAAAGACAGAAAAAAAAUAGAAAAAAGAAAGAGAAAAAGACACCACGAACCGUCUAUCCUCCUGGUAAUACAAAUACACCUGUAAAUAAACAUGUCAAUGUCUACACACAACGCACAUUUAUGCAGAAUCCAUCCUCUCGGUGCUUCCGUAGUUAUCAAGUAAAAGUCCUUCUAAGCCUAAGAAAUGAUAGUAUUAAUUCAGUCUUGGGGUGUGGGGGGAAAGGUGGACUAUCAUCAAAUAAAAAAGGCGAGGCUAAUUAAGUGACAUCCACUGGGGACUGGGAAAAGAAGAGACUUCUUGUGGGAAAGUAAUUAUAUCUUCAUUGACCCUCCUGGGGUACCCCCAGUGGCAGGGACUCUGCCUCGCGGUGUGACAUCUCCUUUCGGGAUGAGCAGCCAGUCACCUCGAGAAGCCCCCUUCUCCAUGGAUGCGUUUUCUAAUCAUUUCACAUGAUUGAGCCUCCAGCAAGUGAUGCUUUACUUAAUUCCUUUCCGCCUGUAGGGUGUGAGGUUUGGAGGGCCUCUCGUCAAAACUUUGGAGGGCUCUGUCAGUUUGAAAAGAACAUGACCUUUAAAUUGUAUCAGUAUGUUUGCUGGUGCAUAAGGGAGAGGAAAAGGUUCGUCCUGAUGGAAAACCACUCAGAAGCCAAGGAGUAAUUCAGAGGGAACCAGCCCAGGAAGAAUCAAGAAAGCUGCCCACAGUGUCAUUCUUCAGCUGAGAAAAGAGAGAGUUGACUAACUCCUCGGACUGGAGUGAGGACUCACAGAGGUGGUAGGACACUAACCAUCUAUGUCUCCAUUUCCUGGGUUGUAACACUGAGGUAGAACAUCUCACUGUCCCAUGGAGGAUUAUGUUAUUUUUGGAGAUUAAUAAUUUUGGAGGAAGAAAGGUGGCUUCCUGAAAAGGAAGUCACAUGAAGAAGCAACUUACACGGUGGUCUCUUUAAAUAAACAUAUUGUGACUAGACAAUGUAUUUGUUCUUUGUAGCAGGAAAGAGCAAUGAGCAGGCUUCUGACUCUAAGCCCUGUUUAUCCUCACGUUGUGAAGCAUAAUCAUUUGUCAGCUUAGGUGAAGCCCCUGUGCCCGGCUGCAAGCCACGGUGCUGUGAAGUAUUGACUGAGUCCGGGUGCCUAAUGCAAAAUGCAAAAUAGGAAUUGAAACAUACUUGAUGGAAUUAAAACAUUAGUAUUGGCUUUCAGCUCUCGGUUCUCUAGCUCCUGUUAUAAAUGCAGGGCAUCUUAAAAACAAAACCCAAUAAACAGCAGAAAACAGCCGGGCGCCUUUGCAAGGCAGGAGAGGCACAGAACCUCGCUGCAAGAUUUGUGAAUUGAUUUUCUCCAGUGUGGACUCCGGCAACUGUUUCAUCUCUAACUUUGACAUAUACUUUUCCUUUAUUUUAAAUAGAAUGCUCUUAUUUUUACCAUGGGUAUAGGAAGGCACUGUGACAUGCUAGAUAAAUGAAAUAAUCCUGAUUACCACAUUAAGCCAUACACAGGGAAUCUUAAAAAGAAAAUGCUGUAAAAAUCUAAUGUGGAUAUACUUACUCGAACAUCAGUGUUUAUCAGUGUGUAUAUGCACUGGGCCUUCUCUGAAGUGGAGGUCACCACAGCAUGGGAUUUGGG
rnacentral:lncRNA from 1 species